rnacentral:rRNA from 1 species
UACGGAGGAUGCAAGCGUUAUCCGGAAUGAUUGGGCGUAAAGAGCGUGUAGGCGGCCCGGUAAGUCCGCUGUGAAAGUCGGGGGCUCAACCCUCGAAUGGCCGGUGGAAACUGUCGGGCUCGGAGUGCGGAAGAGGGCGAGUGGAAUUCCUGGUGUAGCGGGUGAAAUGCGCAGAUAUCAAGGAGGAACACCGAUUGCGAAGGCAGGCUCGCUGGGACGCGACUGACGCUGGAGACGCGAAAGCGUGGGGAGCAAACAGGAUUAAGAAACCCGUGGU